UGCCAGCCGCCGCGGUAAUACGGAGGGUGCAAGCGUUGUUCGGAAUUAUUGGGCGUAAAGAGCAUGUAGGCGGACUGUUAAGUCUGAUGUGAAAGCCCGGGGCUCAACCCCGGAAGUGCAUUGGAAACUGGCGAACUUGAGUACGGGAGAGGAAAGUGGAAUUCCGAGUGUAGGGGUGAAAUCCGUAGAUAUUCGGAGGAACACCAGUGGCGAAGGCGGCCACCUGGACAUUUACUGACGCUGAGACGCGAAAGCGUGGGGAGCAAACAGGAUUAGAUA
rnacentral:rRNA from 1 species